rnacentral:lncRNA from 1 species
CAAAAACAACAUGUCAUUAGAGCAGCUUUACCAAGAAUUUAAGGAAGAGAGAAAGGCAAACGAAAAAAGAGCUGCUGAGAUUGAUAGCAGGGUUAAACAAAGCGAGGAACGCAUUAACCAAAUAUUCAAUGGUUUGUUGAAUUUCAAAGCAGAACAAAGGGAAGCAAUGAAAACUUGCUCAGAAAAUAUUGGAGCAAUAUCCCAG